rnacentral:rRNA from 1 species
GACGAACGCUGGCGGCGUGCUUAACACAUGCAAGUCGAACGGAAAGGCCCCAGCUUGCUGGAGUACUCGAGUGGCGAACGGGUGAGUAACACGUGGGUAAUCUGCCCUGCACUCUGGGAUAAGCCUGGGAAACUGGGUCUAAUACUGGAUAUGACCUUUCUCCUUAUGGGGUUUGGUGGAAAGUUUUUCGGUGUAGGAUGAGCCCGCGGCCUAUCAGCUUGUUGGUGGGGUGGUGGCCUACCAAGGCGACGACGGGUAGCCGGCCUGAGAGGGUGAUCGGCCACAUUGGGACUGAGAUACGGCCCAGACUCCUACGGGAGGCAGCAGUGGGGAAUAUUGCACAAUGGGCGGAAGCCUGAUGCAGCGACGCCGCGUGAGGGAUGACGGCCUUCGGGUUGUAAACCUCUUUCAGCAGGGACGAAGCGUAAGUGACGGUACCUGCAGAAGAAGCACCGGCUAACUAUGUG